CACGGUAGGGCGCAAGCGUUGUCCGGAAUUAUUGGGCGUAAAGAGCUCGUAGGCGGUCUGUUGCGUCCGCUGUGAAAACUCGGGGCUUAACCCCGAGCCUGCAGUGGAUACGGGCAGACUAGAGGUAGGUAGGGGAGAAUGGAAUUCCCGGUGUAGCGGUGAAAUGCGCAGAUAUCGGGAGAACACCGGUGGCGAAGGCGGCGUUCUGGACUGUAACUGACACUGAAAGACGAAAGCCAGGGGAGCAAACGGGAGUUAGA
rnacentral:rRNA from 1 species